ensembl:misc_RNA Metazoa_SRP Metazoan signal recognition particle RNA
GCUGGGUGUGGUGGUGGACACCUGUAAUCCCAGCUACUUGGGAGGCUGAGGCUGGAGAAUCGCUUGAACCCAGGACUCAGAGGUUGCAGUGAGCUGAGAUCGCACCAUUGCACUCUAGCCUGGAUGACAGAGCGAGACUCUGUCUCAA